UCUCACUGUUGUGGCCUCUCCCGUUGUGGAGCACAGGCUCCAGACGCCCAGGCUCAGCGGCCAUGGCUCACGGGCCCAGCCACUCCACAGCAUGUGGGAUCUUCGCGGACUGGGGCACGAACCCGUGUCCCCUGCAUCGGCAGGCAGACUCUCAACCACUGCGCCACCAGGGAAGCCCAAAGCUUACUCUAUACCUUUUUCACUGAGUUUAUUUUUAAUUAAGGCUCCCUUCUGAAUUGUGCACCUAUGUCUGGUAUCAGAGACCAAAGAAUGGAAGCAAGAAGCAAGGACAUAGAGAAGUAAACCUAGAAUUGGGAAGCGCUUCAGAUUUCAUCUUUCAAGAGAGAGAAGUAACAAACCUGCACCCAGAGAAGGAAGUGGAGGAUGUUUUGGUGGUGAUGAGGUUAUGUUCUUAGGCUCCCUAGAAUCCUUGCUGCUCCCUGGAAAUGCUGUCCUUUUAUGCCACAUGUCUUCCUCAUGCUGUGUCUGAGCCUGGAAGGUCUGUCUCCUUGUCCACACAGCAAACUCAUGGUCUCCCUUCAGAGACAGAUCUCCUCUUCUGUUCCCUGACACAUCUAUCCUGGGUAACCUGCAUUGACUAACAGCUGUAACAGAGGUACGCAGGCCUCUCACUGCCGUGGCCUCUCCCGCUGCGGAGCACAGGCUUCGGGCGCGCAGGCUCAGCGGCCAUGGCUCGCGGGCCCAGCCGCUCCGCGGCAUGUGGGAUCUUCCCGGACUGGGGCAUGAACCCGUGUCCCUUGCAUCGGCAGGCGGACUCUCAACCACUGUGCCACCAGGGAAGUCCAGAGACUGUGUGAAGUAUUUCAUAGUAAUAAAAGAGAAAGAAAUAUCUCCAAUGACAAUGUGUAGAUUCUUUUGGAGGAGUAAGUCUGGGGAUAAGAAGACCAAUUAACCUGGUUAAGAAGCAGUGGCAAUAAGCUCCCACUGCCAAACGCACCAGAAGCCAGAGGGCAAGGGAACUUGGGUGAUGAUGCAGCCUGUAAGAAUCAGCCUUCGAGGGCUCAGAGCAAGACAGAGAAGGGUGGAGAAUCGAUCCUUGGUGGAUGUGAGGGGAUACCAAUGGAGAAUAGCCAGGAUAGCCAUGUUUGGUCCAAGAGUGAGAACAUAACUUGAUCCCUGUCAGCAGGACGAUGCUGUGCUAUGACUAGCUCAGCCUAGACUAUGGGUCACAGGCCGGGGGAAGAGGGUUUGUUACCAGAGGCAGGAAAUUAGGAAACUUGCUAGGCCUUGAAAAUCUACUACAAAGUCCAAAUGAAUAGUCUACUACAGUCAUGCAUGCAGAUGUAGUAGGAAAACCACAGGAGUGCUUACUUCAGAAGAGGAUGUAGUGAGGAGAGAAGAUGGACAAAGCCAAAGAUAUACCCAAUUAAAGUACUGACAUUUAGGGAAGAACUCUCAGAAGAAGAAAUGCUUACAAAGUGACUGAGAAUAAGCAACCAGAUUGGUAGGAGGAACACAAGAGUGUGGUCUUACUAAAGCCGAGGGAGCAGAGAGUUUCAAGAAGACAAUGGUCAAGAGUGUAAAAUGCCAAACUAAUAACACCAAGUGGAAGCGUGUAAGUGGGAAAGGGGAAGACGAGGAGGAGAAAACAGUUAUAGCUUUGGAGAUGACUGAAUUCCCUGAAAGGGUGCACUGAAAGGAAAGAAAGAAGAGAGCCGUGGGACGAUGAUGAAAUGAUAAUAACACAGAUAGUCAGGAAAGAACAGAAAAGGUCAACUCAGUACAUCCCGACCCCAAAAAGCUUUGUGGGGAAUAAGAUCUGGAUUAUAUCUGAUAAUUACAGUCAUUUAAAAACAGAAAUGGAUUCUUAUAUUAUCCUCUUUCAGUUACAUCUUUACGUGGACCCAUUAGAUUCUGGAGCCUCCCAUAACUUUCUCCAUCUUCGAAUUAUAGCCCAUCAAACUGUCUUUCUAGGGGGAAGAAGGAGAGGGGAACUGCCAUCCAGCGGCAGAGUGAGGCAUGGAAGACAAAGGUGGUGACAGAGCACAGCUGGGGCACAGGAGGCCCAGAUCGAAGUCCCAGUUCUGCCAUGACCACAUUGCUAAACACAGGGCCACUUGCCCAUGUCCAUAGGCCUCAUUUGGGGUUGGAUUGGGUGCUCCCUAGUGCUGCUUUCAUCUUUGACUAUCUGUGGCUCUGAUCCUGAAGGGCAGGGAGGGAAACUCCUAAGGGUUCUGUGAAAGCAGCAUCCCUUGAUCAGCAAGGGUGCUCCCUGGUGAAUAGGUCUAGCAAAGACCCCUGAAGCAUUUCAUUCUCAGUGCUCACAGAUGUGCUACCUGACAGGGGUCUUUGGGAGGUACUCUCCUCAAAACUCAGAGCAGAUUCUAGGGCCCUUCACCAGCUUCUCUUUCCACAGGUCGAUGUGGAGCAAAGGUGCCUGCUCAGCAGGCAAGGAGAGAGCCCUUAGCAGGCAAGGAGCUGGCUCAGUGCCUAGAGCAGGUGCUCAGAAAACGGGCAGGGCGUGGCCUGCGCUGGAUGGAAAGUCUGAGGCCGGGUGGUGUGCUUGGGCCCAGAACACUUUGGGAGGAGCUGCCAAAAUCAUUCAGACAAGCACCUGGGGGAAUUUCCGUUGUCCCCAAAGUACCUUUUAAUUUGAAAAUAAUUAGGAGGCAGGUCAGAGGGUUUUUCAUCACUUGGCAGCGGGUGACAGUGCCUGGUCUUGGAGAGCCACUCUAUGCAGUUAUAGGCUCCAAUUAGGUGUGAGAAGAGGUUACUGCUGCCUGCCAGCUGGGGGAGAGCCAGGCAGCCUGUCAUCUCUUGUCUCAUAAAUACCAGGGGCUCCAGCACCAGGCCCAGAAAGACCAAUGACACCAUUCAUCACAUAAAACUUGCCAAACACCGGAGGAAGCUCACAGGUUCUGCAGCAAAUCUUUUCACCCAAGGGCCUGAGAUGACACCACUCAGAGAUUUCUGCAAGUAGAGAUGCAGGUGAUAUAGCCAGUAUAAGAGGACAGUCCGUUUCUGAGUUCCACCAAAAAGAAAUAUGAACAGAGAAGACUUUACUGAUGAUUUUGGAGCAGAAAUGGACUCUCAUGACACAGCAAGGCAAGGAACUUCAUAUGCAGGGCAGCCCCCAGCACCUCUUCAACAGCCUGUGAGCCCUCACGAUUGGGCUGUUUGACCUGGUUCUCACCUCUCUGAACUUUGUGCUUUCUCCUUCCUCCUUCCAUUCCUUCCCUUGUCUUCCCCCUUCAUCUCCAAAGCAAAAGCAAAUUUCUCUCCAUGUCCUGUGCAGGCCAGUUUUACUUUAUUCUUUGAAGUUCUAUGGCCAAAAAACACCCAGGCCCUCAGGGUCCCCAAAACAUUUCCAAACAACAGCUAUCAAGAUAAUAAAAUAAGGCUUUCAAGCAAUUUAUAAAUAUUGCCUAAUAGAAAGUCUUCUCAACCCUGUCCUACAUCAAGAGAAAGUGAAUGUUUUGAUACUCAGAGGCAAAGUCAAAAUACAAACGAGUUUUCAGCUCCUCAGCCUGGUUCUCUAACACACAGUGUGAAUAUUGGGGAAAACCCUCCUCAACUUACAAACCUCCAGAUCAGAAUGUUCCCUCAGACACGUGCUCCCAGGGCAGGAGAAGUUCCUUUUCACCUCCCAUCGCUUCUUCUCUCAUUUUCCUUCCCUCUCCCGAAGGACAAACCCAACCACAAGGUGACCUAGGCCACGGAGUCAGGGGUGCAUCUCUCCAGCUCUGCGACUGCCUCUCACCCUCAACUCAUCCCCCAUCUCCUGCCCUUGCUGGCAGUGGAGCAGACCCGCUGAUGUGAGCAGGCGGAGAGCAAAGGGUAGUCUCUCAGCGCAGGAGGUGGCCGUGAGGACAGGGCCCCAGAGAGCGGGCAGCGUGGGGAUAAGAUGGCCAUGAUCCCACACUGCAGGACUACUGGCCACACCGCCUCUGCGCCUGAAUUUGAGGAUAUGGUGUCACUAUUUCGGGGUAUGUCAAGCGAGUGCCUUAAGCACUUUGAUAAUUUAAAAUCCUAAUUGACUUUUUCCUUCACAUCAAUUGCAGGGAAGUGAUACCCUUUCUGGGAUGGGAUUACUUCUUUCUUUGAUUGGCAGCCUGAGGCAAGUCUCUCCCCAGAACUCUGGGUUCCCUGUCAACAAUUAGCAGCGGAACCUGCAGAAUCCUAUGGAAUGUUAAUGUGGGGCUGCCUGCACUUGCCAGCUGGUUGUCUUCACCACAAACCUUUAAUUUCCUAGUACCCCGUUCUCCUUUAACCCCAUCCCUCCCCAGACCAAUACAAGCAUCUGAAGGUAAAUAAACCCAUCAAGGGAGCUCAUAACCCUAAACACCUCCAUUUUAUUGAAGCCAGUAAAACAGGCCAGUUAAACUUUCCCAACGCUCUUCGACUGCCACCCCCCAAACCGAAAAAUAUCCCAGCUCUGUCUUCAAUGUAUCUCUUUUACUUGUUAAAAAUAGAUGUUCCUGGAUCUAGUAUGUAUUGCAAAAAUAAAACUCAUUUGCAAAACCAACAAAGGACUUAAGACAUUGCAUUUCCAUCGAUCUGAACGGGACGAGUGCAAACAGAUUCAGCAUUGAGCUGCCACAGCUUGAUGAUAUUAACCUCAACAUGCUAUGGUUGUGACAAAAGGGUACAAGAUGAAUAAAGCCUAAGGAGGUAAUGUAUAACAUGGUGACCAGAGUUGACAAAACUGUAUUGCAUAAUUGAAA